rnacentral:rRNA from 1 species
GUCCACGCCGUAAACGAUGUCUGCUAGCCGUUGGAUCCGUUAAGGAUUUAGUGGCGCAGCUAACGCGAUAAGCAGACCGCCUGGGGAGUACGGCCGCAAGGUUAAAACUCAAAUGAAUUGACGGGGGCCCGCACAAGCGGUGGAGCAUGUGGUUUAAUUCGAUGCAACGCGAAGAACCUUACCGCCCCUUGACAUCCUGCGAACUUUCUAGAGAUAGAUUGGUGCCUUCGGGAACGCAGAGACAGGUGCUGCAUGGCUGUCGU